UACGUAGGCGGCGAGCGUUGUCCGGAUUUACUGGGCGUAAAGGGUGCGUAGGUGGUUUCUUAAGUCAGAGGUGAAAGGCUACGGCUCAACCGUAGUAAGCCUUUGAAACUGGGAAACUUGAGUGCAGGAGAGGAGAGUGGAAUUCCUAGUGUAGCGGUGAAAUGCGUAGAUAUUAGGAGGAACACCAGUUGCGAAGGCGGCUCUCUGGACUGUAACUGACACUGAGGCACGAAAGCGUGGGGAGCAAACAGGAUUAGAUACCCUGGUAGUCCCUGA
rnacentral:rRNA from 1 species